rnacentral:rRNA from 1 species
GACAGAGGGUGCAAACGUUGUUCGGAUUUACUGGGCGUAAAGCGUGUGUAGGCGGCUUCGCAAGUUGGAUGUGAAAUCCCACAGCUCAACCGUGGACGUGCAUCCAAAACUGCGUCGCUGGAGUCUCGGAGAGGAAGGUGGAAUGCUUGGUGUAGAGGUGAAAUUCGUAGAUAUCAAGCAGAACACCUGCGGCGAAGGCGGCCUUCUGGACGAUGACUGACGCUGAGACGCGAAAGCGUGGGGAGCAAACAGG